rnacentral:rRNA from 1 species
GACGAACGCUGGCGGCGUGCUUAACACAUGCAAGUCGAACGGAAAGGCCCUGCUUUUGUGGGGUGCUCGAGUGGCGAACGGGUGAGUAACACGUAAGUAACCUGCCCUUGACUUUGGGAUAACUUCAGGAAACUGGGGCUAAUACCGGAUAGGAGCUCCUGCUGCAUGGUGGGGGUUGGAAAGUUUCGGCGGUUGGGGAUGGACUCGCGGCUUAUCAGCUUGUUGGUGGGGUAGUUGCUUACCAAGGCUUUGACGGGUAGCCGGCCUGAGAGGGUGACCGGCCACAUUGGGACUGAGAUACGGACCAGACUCCUACGGGAGGCAGCAGUGGGGAAUAUUGCACAAUGGGCGGAAGCCUGAUGCAGCAACGCCGCGUGCGGGAUGACGGCCUUCGGGUUGUAAACCGCUUUCGCCUGUGACGAAGCGUGAGUGACGGUAAUGGGUAAAGAAGCACCGGCUAACUACGUG